AACGAACGCUGGCGGCAGGCCUGACACAUGCAAGUCGAGCGCCCGGAUUUAUCCGGGAGCGGCGCACGGGUGAGUAACGCGUGGGAACAUGCCCUGAAGUACGGAACAACCUGGGGAAACCUUGGCUAAUACCGUAUACGCCCUGAGGGGGAAAGAUUUAUCGCUUUGGGAUUGGCCCGCGUUGGAUUAGCUGGUUGGUGUGGUAACGGCGCACCAAGGCGACGAUCCAUAACUGGUCUGAGAGGAGGACCAGUCACACUGGGACUGAGACACGGCCCAGACUCCUACGGGAGGCAGCAGUGGGGAAUAUUGGACAAUGGGCGAAAGCCUGAUCCAGCCAUGCCGCGUGAGUGAAGAAGGCUUUCGGGUUGUAAAGCUCUUUCAGCGGGGACGAUGAUGACGGUACCCGCAGAAGAAGCCCCGGCUAACUUCGUGCCAGCCGCCGCCGUAA
rnacentral:rRNA from 1 species